UACGUAGGGUGCAAGCGUUGUCCGGAAUUAUUGGUCGUAAAGAGCUCGUAGGCGGUCUGUUGCGUCGGCUGUGAAAACCCGGGGCUCAACUCCGGGCCUGCAGCCGAUACGGGCAGACUAGAGUUCGGCAGGGGAGACUGGAAUUCCUGGUGUAGCGGUGAAAUGCGCAGAUAUCAGGAGGAACACCGGUGGCGAAGGCGGGUCUCUGGGCCGAUACUGACGCUGAGGAGCGAAAGCGUGGGGAGCAAACAGG
rnacentral:rRNA from 1 species